rnacentral:rRNA from 1 species
AAAGAUGGCGACCGGCGCACGGGUGAGUAACACGUAUCCAACCUGCCGAUAACUCGGGGAUAGCCUUUCGAAAGAAAGAUUAAUAUCCGAUGGUAUAUUUUCUCCGCAUGGUGAGAAUAUUAAAGAAUUUCGGUUAUCGAUGGGGAUGCGUUCCAUUAGUUUGUUGGCGGGGUAACGGCCCACCAAGACCACGAUGGAUAGGGGUUCUGAGAGGAAGGUCCCCCACAUUGAAACUGAGACACGGUCCAA